CCUAAUCUCUUCUAGCUAAUGAGAUGAAAAUUUAUAAGAGUCAUGUUUCCCUCCAAUGUACCUUGUACCUUGUACCUUGUACUUUGUAUCUUUAUUUCCUUUUUCUUUUUCUUCUUUUUUCCUCGUCUUCCUGAGUAACUUGUGAUUCCAAUUCCUUGAUCUCAUCUGUUUCUGUUGUACACUAAGUUUUAAUAAUACCCUUCGAUAAAAAUUCAGUUAAUACCCG
rnacentral:lncRNA from 1 species